rnacentral:misc_RNA from 1 species
CACUAAACCAUUUUUGAGUCACUGAAUUAGGUGAAGAAGGUGGCUGAAUAUUCUUUAGCAAUGCAAUAUCAUCACAAUCUGGUUGUGAAGGUUGCAGCUCCACACUCUUUGAGACGUCGUUAUCAUUAUGUCCGUCUUCUAUAUUCUCUAAUUCAUAUUCCCCACGUUCAGCUCUUUGUAGUUCUUCCAAUACCUCAUCCAUAGAAGGUCUCAUUUCUUUAUCAUGUUGCAAGCAUUGAAAGGCCAGCUCUGCAAUUGUAGUUAUCAUUCUUUUAACUACCUCAUUUGACUGAUGCCCAAGACAUGGGUCAAUCAACUCAUCAAAAGCGCAUUUUCGAAUCUUGUUCAUUGCUAAGUUUGCCAAAUUAAUCUCAUGCCGAUGCCUAGUCAUGUCAACAGCAGGCAUUGAUGAUAUGAGUUCAAUAAGGACGACACCAAAGCUGUAGACAUCGCUCUUAUUAGUUAGCUGGUAAAAUUGGUGAUAUUCAGGAUCAACAUAGCCAGGAGUCCCUUGCGGAGCAGUUGAGACAUGGGUGGCAUCAGUGGGGAACAACCUGGAAAGCCCAAGAUCUGCAACUUUGACAUGGUAAUUGUUGUCAAGGAGAAUGUUAUUAGUUUUCACAUCCCGAUGAAUGAUAUCGGAAGCAUGGAGAUAAGCCAAAGCGCUAGCUGUUUCUAUAGCAAUCCUCAUACGAAUUGGCCAAGUUAGUGGACUAGAGUGGAUUCCAUUACCAUGGAGAUGAUCAGCAACGGUGCCAUUG